rnacentral:rRNA from 1 species
AUCCUGUCUGAAUAUGGGGGGACCAUCCUCCAAGGCUAAAUACUCCUGACUGACCGAUAGUGAACCAGUACCGUGAGGGAAAGGCGAAAAGAACCCCGGCGAGGGGAGUGAAAAAGAACCUGAAACCGUGUACGUACAAGCAGUGGGAGCCCUGAUUUAUCAGGGUGACUGCGUACCUUUUGUAUAAUGGGUCAGCGACUUAUAUUCUGUAGCAAGGUUAACCGAAUAGGGGAGCCGGAGGGAAACCGAGUCUUAACUGGGCGUUAAGUUGCAGGGUAUAGACCCGAAACCCGGUGAUCUAGCCAUGGGCAGGUUGAAGGUUGGGUAACACUAACUGGAGGACCGAACCGACUAAUGUUGAAAAAUUAGCGGAUGACUUGUGGCUGGGGGUGAAAGGCCAAUCAAACCGGGAGAUAGCUGGUUCUCCCCGAAAGCUAUUUAGGUAGCGCCUCGUGAAUUCAUCUCCGGGGGUAGAGCACUGUUUCGGCAAGGGGGUCAUCCCGACUUACCAACCCGAUGCAAACUGCGAAUACCGGAGAAUGUUAUCACGGGAGACACACGGCGGGUGCUAACGUCCGUCGUGAAGAGGGAAACAACCCAGACCGCCAGCUAAGGUCCCAAAGUCAUGGUUAAGUGGGAAACGAUGUGGGAAGGCCCAGACAGCCAGGAUGUUGGCUUAGAAGCAGCCAUCAUUUAAAGAAAGCGUAAUAGCUCACUGGUCGAGUCGGCCUGCGCGGAAGAUGUAACGGGGCUAAACCAUGCACCGAAGCUGCGGCAGCGACACUGUGUGUUGUUGGGUAGGGGAGCGUUCUGUAAGCCUGUGAAGGUGUGCUGUGAGGCAUGCUGGAGGUAUCAGAAGUGCGAAUGCUGACAUAAGUAACGAUAAAGCGGGUGAAAAGCCCGCUCGCCGGAAGACCAAGGGUUCCUGUCCAACGUUAAUCGGGGCAGGGUGAGUCGACCCCUAAGGCGAGGCCGAAAGGCGUAGUCGAUGGGAAACAGGUUAAUAUUCCUGUACUUGGUGUUACUGCGAAGGGGGGACGGAGAAGGCUAUGUUGGCCGGGCGACGGUUGUCCCGGUUUAAGCGUGUAGGCUGGUUUUCCAGGCAAAUCCGGAGAAUCAAGGCUGAGGCGUGAUGACGAGGCACUACGGUGCUGAAGCAACAAAUGCCCUGCUUCCAGGAAAAGCCUCUAAGCAUCAGGUAACAUCAAAUCGUACCCCAAACCGACACAGGUGGUCAGGUAGAGAAUACCAAGGCGCUUGAGAGAACUCGGGUGAAGGAACUAGGCAAAAUGGUGCCGUAACUUCGGGAGAAGGCACGCUGAUAUGUAGGUGAAGCGACUUGCUCGUGGAGCUGAAAUCAGUCGAAGAUACCAGCUGGCUGCAACUGUUUAUUAAAAACACAGCACUGUGCAAACACGAAAGUGGACGUAUACGGUGUGACGCCUGCCCGGUGCCGGAAGGUUAAUUGAUGGGGUCAGCGCAAGCGAAGCUCUUGAUCGAAGCCCCGGUAAACGGCGGCCGUAACUAUAACGGUCCUAAGGUAGCGAAAUUCCUUGUCGGGUAAGUUCCGACCUGCACGAAUGGCGUAAUGAUGGCCAGGCUGUCUCCACCCGAGACUCAGUGAAAUUGAACUCGCUGUGAAGAUGCAGUGUACCCGCGGCAAGACGGAAAGACCCCGUGAACCUUUACUAUAGCUUGACACUGAACACUGGUCCUUGAUGUGUAGGAUAGGUGGGAGGCUUUGAAGUGUGGACGCCAGUCUGCAUGGAGCCGUCCUUGAAAUACCACCCUUUAAUGGCUGGUGUUCUAACGUGGGCCCGUAAUCCGGGUUGCGGACAGUGUCUGGUGGGUAGUUUGACUGGGGCGGUCUCCUCCUAAAGAGUAACGGAGGAGCACGAAGGUUGGCUAAUCCUGGUCGGACAUCAGGAGGUUAGUGCAAUGGCAUAAGCCAGCUUGACUGCGAGCGUGACGGCGCGAGCAGGUGCGAAAGCAGGUCAUAGUGAUCCGGUGGUUCUGAAUGGAAGGGCCAUCGCUCAACGGAUAAAAGGUACUCCGGGGAUAACAGGCUGAUACCGCCCAAGAGUUCAUAUCGACGGCGGUGUUUGGCACCUCGAUGUCGGCUCAUCACAUCCUGGGGCUGAAGUAGGUCCCAAGGGUAUGGCUGUUCGCCAUUUAAAGUGGUACGCGAGCUGGGUUUAGAACGUCGUGAGACAGUUCGGUCCCUAUCUGCCGUGGGCGCUGGAGAACUGAGGGGGGCUGCUCCUAGUACGAGAGGACCGGAGUGGACGCAUCACUGGUGUUCGGGUUGUCAUGCCAAUGGCACUGCCCGGUAGCUAAAUGCGGAAGAGAUAAGUGCUGAAAGCAUCUAAGCACGAAACUUGCCCCGAGAUGAGUUCUCCCUGAGACUUUAAGUCUCCUGAAGGAACGUUGAAGACGACGACGUUGAUAGGCCGGGUGUGUAAGCGCAGCGAUGCGUUGAGCUAACCGGUACUAAUGAACCGUGAG